CCUACGGGUGGCAGCAGUGGGGAAUAUUGGGCAAUGGAGGAAACUCUGACCCAGCAACGCCGCGUGAAUGAUGAAGGUCUUCGGAUUGUAAAGUUCUGUUCUAAGGGAAGAAGAAAGUGACGGUAACGUAGGAAUAAGCCGAGGCUAACUACGUGCCAGCAGCCGCGGUAAUACGUAGGAGGCAAGCUUUAUCCGGAAUGACUGGGCGUAAAGGGUGGGUAGGUGGUUUGACAAGUUGGUCGCGUAACUCCGGGGCUCAACCGCGGCACUACUACCAAAACUGUCGGACUUGAGUGCAGGUGGGUCAACUUGCAUUCCUAGUGUAGCGGUGUACUGCUUAGAUAUUAG
rnacentral:rRNA from 1 species